rnacentral:rRNA from 1 species
UACGUAGGGGGCAAGCGUUGUCCGGAAUCAUUGGGCGUAAAGCGCGCGUAGGCGGCCCGGUAAGUCCGUUGUGAAAGUCAAAGGCUCAACCUUUGAACGCCGAUGGAUACUGCCGGGCUAGAGUCCGGAAGAGGCGAGUGGAAUUCCUGGUGUAGCGGUGGAAUGCGCAGAUAUCAGGAGGAACACCAAUAGCGAAGGCAGCUCGCUGGGACGGUACUGACGCUGAGGCGCGACAGCGUGGGGAGCAAACAGG